rnacentral:rRNA from 1 species
AACGAACGCUGGCGGCAUGCCUAACACAUGCAAGUCGAACGAGACCUUCGGGUCUAGUGGCGCACGGGUGCGUAACGCGUGGGAACCUGCCCUUAGGUUCGGAAUAACUCCCCGAAAGGGGUGCUAAUACCGGAUAAUGUCUUCGGACCAAAGAUUUAUCGCCUUUGGAUGGGCCCGCGUUGGAUUAGCUAGUUGGUAGGGUAAAAGCCUACCAAGGCGACGAUCCAUAGCUGGUCUGAGAGGAUGAUCAGCCACACUGGGACUGAGACACGGCCAAGACUCCUACGGGAGGCAGCAGUGGGGAAUAUUGGACAAUGGGCGAAAGCCUGAUCCAGCAAUGCCGCGUGAGUGAUGAAGGCCUUAGGGUUGUAAAGCUCUUUUACCCGGGAUGAUAAUGACAGUACCGGGAGAAUAAGCUCCGGCUAACUCCGU